CAAUAGCGUAUAUUAAAGUUGUUGCAGUUAAAAGCUCGUAGUUGGAUUUCUGGCAGGAGUGACCGGCCGCACACACUGUGUGCGAGUUGCGUCAUUCUGGCCAUCCUUGGUGAGAUCCUGUUUGGCAUUAAGUUGUCGGGCAGGGGAUAACCGUCGUUUACUGUGAAAAAUUAGAGUGUUUAAAGCAGGCUUAUGCCGUUGAAUACAUUAGCAUGGAAUAAUAAGAUAGGACCGCGUGGUCGUCUUGUUGGUUUGCACCGCGAGGUAAUGAUUAAUAGGUACAGUUGGGGGGUAUUCGUAUUUAAUUGUCAGAGGUGAAAUUCUUGGAUUUAUGAAAGACGAACUUCUGCGAAAGCAUUUACCAAGGAUGUUUUCAUUAAUCAAGAACGAAAGUUAGGGGAUCGAAGAUGAUUAGAU
rnacentral:rRNA from 1 species